AUUGAACGCUGGCGGCAGGCCUAACACAUGCAAGUCGAACGGUAACAGGAAACAGCUUGCUGUUUCGCUGACGAGUGGCGGACGGGUGAGUAAUGUCUGGGAAACUGCCUGAUGGAGGGGGAUAACUACUGGAAACGGUAGCUAAUACCGCAUAACGUCGCAAGACCAAAGAGGGGGACCCUCGGGCCUCUUGCCAUCGGAUGUGCCCAGAUGGGAUUAGCUUGUUGGUGGGGUAACGGCUCACUAAGGCGACGAUCCCUAGCUGGUCUGAGAGGAUGACCAGCCACACUGGAACUGAGACACGGUCCAGACUCCUACGGGAGGCAGCAGUGGGGAAUAUUGCACAAUGGGCGCAAGCCUGAUGCAGCCAUGCCGCGUGUAUGAAGAAGGCCUUCGGGUUGUAAAGUACUUUCAGCGGGGAGGAAGGGAGUAAAGUUAAUACCUUUGCUCAUUGACGUUACCCGCAGAAGAAGCACCGGCUAACUCCGUG
rnacentral:rRNA from 1 species